rnacentral:sRNA from 1 species
GGGCAAUAAAAAUGGACACACAGCAGAAACAACAUGGCGCUGGCAGAAGGCAACGGUCCGGGACACCGGCACAGAAGCACUCGCCAAUGUACGGGCAACCUGAUGCCGGCGCCUUCCCCCCUCCCACGCCUCAGGCCUCACCGGACACUGGACUAGGAAUAACAGCAUUUAUUCUUCCUUCUGGUUGUACUCUUUGUGUCUUAACUAUUUAUGAGGUCGAGUUGUUUGUGCAGUUUGAUUAUUUUGCUGGCAGGGCGGUAGGCGGAGCACCGGCGACCUGUGCCUCUUCAUAAUUCAACGGUCGGGCUGACAAUCCGGCCAGACGGAGUGCACACACAUUCAGAGGAACGCGCCGUUCAAGUGAGAUCGCAGUGAGCGCCCACGCAACGAGUUUUGUGCAGCGUGUAGGGGAUCACUCGAUGGGCUGUACACACGCAGUGAGUAGUGAAUAUUAAUGUACUAGCAGUGUAAAUAGAUAUGUAUACUCUUGAUUUGCAGCCACAGCUGAUUUGUUAUGGUUUUAAAAAGAACUUAAUGAAAAUCAAAGUAAAGGCCGAUCGGCCCUGUGCCCUGCGGGUCCUAUAUACCCUACAGACUCGCUACAGACUGUGCUUGGGAUCCGCUCGCUACUUUGGCCUAGAAUGGCUGGAGCAUUUCUUGUGGAUUCACAGUCAACGUUCAACGUACUGCAACAUGCAGCAGCCACCAUGAGUUGUAUUGCAUAGCUAAUCACAUCACUUACAGUUCCACACAUUAUAUUAGUGAAUGCUUUGUGUGAAUGUGUCUGACGUCUGCCUAAGUCUGAUGAACGUGAUUAUAUAGUGGAAAGAAUUAUUUGGCCCAGCCAUCUUAUGUGCAUAUUUACGUACACACUUAUAUAGGGAAUUCUUUACACUUUUGAAGGCUCUACGGAGAGAUGCAACUCAUAUACACACAUAUCUGCGACCUUUCCAGUCGCCUUCUCGUGCAGCUGCUAUCCACUACCUGCUCUGGGUAGGGGCCUUCCAAAGCUACAGGCAAACAAUUGCUGCAUUCCAGAAGUCACCGCUAAAACGCCGCAACGCUACAGGACCUGAGCGCUCCCAGUCGUUGCUUCGCUUCUACAAGCAGCACCAACGGCGACGCUACAUCUUGGAACACUUUCAGCGUUCCCUUCCAUUCGGUAUAGUACACUCCUUCACGUCUCUCAAUAUAUAUGGUAUGUUAUACUCGUGUCUUAAUGGAAAGGCGUACUUACAUAUUUGAUAGGUAUCAGUAUGUUUCUGAUGUGUACACUUUAUAACAACUCUCAUGUGUUCCAGGUUCCACGUGAAAAUCCCUACACAGUUUAAUCAGCUGCUAGGCACUGCAUAUUAAUAUUUAUGAGUAAUAUUGACGAAACAAUUCAGAAGUGACUGAUUUCUCAUCCGUGGGGCUGCCUUGACAGCGAUCUUAGUGAGAAUUGUUGACUUCUAGCGACUCAGCGACUUCUACUCUGAGCGCUUCUCGUCGGUGCGUUAAGCACCUGGUGGUCUCGCUACAUAUAUUGGUCUUCUCGACGGUCCAAUUAAAACACGGCAGGAGAACAACUACGAACUACGGUUGAACAUGGAAACGGCUAUUAGUUCGUUCAGCUUCGUAAGGGACUUCUCAGGGUUGCGCUCGCAAAUACAUUGGAACCAAACACGCUCAUCGUUUCACCAUCCAUAUUUAAAGCUCUACGGAUGGAACAACUCAGAGGGGAUAAAUCUCCACUGAAUACUGAUCAUCCUGUGCAGACGGACCUGGAAUUCGAGGGAACACUCUUAAAAGAAGAUCGAAACUCCUUCCUAAGUUGUGGCUUGGAAGGGACUGGAACAGGGUAUAAAUGACGUCAAAUGGAACAUUGUCAUUUGGUGCAUAGUGAGGACUUAAGUGCAAUUGCAGACACACACACAUCCGGAUGUAUCGAAGGAAUGGCAGUUCAUUGUGGCUGCUAGAAGAUGUUGGAUAUCAACGACGAAAGACAAGUAUCUAAGGGGUCAACGCGAGGAAGGGAAUACGCCUCAGGGCGGUUGAUGGGACUCUUACGGAACAUACUAUAUAACUCUUAAACGAAAAGCAGUCGUAAUUAAACUUAUACUUAAACGA